rnacentral:rRNA from 1 species
AGUGAACGCUGGCGGCAGGCCUAACACAUGCAAGUCGAGCGGCAGCGCGUCCGACCACCCUCGGGUGGUCGGAUGGCGGCGAGCGGCGGACGGGUGAGGAAUGCAUCGGAAUCUGCCUCGUUGUGGGGGAUAACGUAGGGAAACUUACGCUAAUACCGCAUACGACCUACGGGUGAAAGUGGGGGACCUUCGGGCCUCACGCGAUGAGAUGAGCCGAUGCCGGAUUAGCUAGUUGGCGGGGUAAAGGCCCACCAAGGCGACGAUCCGUAGCUGGUCUGAGAGGAUGAUCAGCCACACCGGAACUGAGACACGGUCCGGACUCCUACGGGAGGCAGCAGUGGGGAAUAUUGCGCAAUGGGCGAAAGCCUGACGCAGCCAUACCGCGUGUGUGAAGAAGGCC